GUUGGACACUCUGAAGACGUGUGGAGAAAACAAAUAUGCGGUGAAAAUGAUACACUUAGUUGGUCUCCAGAUUAUGCAGAACAUUUUGGAGUUAACCUGAGAUAUGCCAGGGUGUCCGCUAGUUCUCCAGGAAACCAGUUCAAGAUACAUCCAAAACAUUGGCCUUACAGUACACAAACAGGGGAAGUUUAACGUUUAACAUAAGUUUUCCGUCAUCAUCAAAAUCUUGCUCUUAAUAUGAAAAUGGUUCUCAGAAAUCAUGAUUAUUGUGUAAAGCUCAGAGUUGAUCAACAAGCAUUGAUUGACCGACAAGCAUUGAUUGACCGACAACCUCAACUUGAUUGGCAAAUCUGAUUAAUUGAUUGACAAGUUCAUUAAUUGACCAAAAAGCUCAUUAAUUAAUUAACAAACUUAUUACUUAUUGACUGACCUGCAGUUGAUUGUUUGAUUGAAAGCUCAAUUGGUUGAUUAACCACCUGGUUGAUUGAUACAAGCCGAUUGAUUGAUAGACAGACCGACUGGUUCACUGACAAACUGAAUAAUUGAUUGACGCAGCGAUUGACGGAACGACAAAAUUAUUGUCAUUUGCUAUGAUUAUAGUGCUCAUUGAUUUAUUGACAAAAUCAUCAUUGGUUCUCAAUCUGUUUAGGAAUACGCAUGUAAAUGUUCUAGAACUAACUAAUGGUGUUCUACUAGCUGACUACGGAUACCAACUAAGAAUUUCGCCUGGACUUAGCAAUGGUUGGAAUCUGUUCUCCUGUAACUCAGUUUAGAAAGAUGGAGAGACAUUUUGUGAUUUUGACUUGUGCAAUAUAAUCAAAUGUGUAGAUCAUUAUAUUGCAUAAAUAAACGGUUUUAGAAAAAAAAUAGUAUGCAUAAAUAUA